rnacentral:rRNA from 1 species
ACGCUCGACACCUACGGGAGGCAGCAGUCGGGAAUAUUGCGCAAUGGAGGAAACUCUGACGCAGUGACGCCGCGUGCAGGAAGAAGGUUUUCGGAUUGUAAACUGCUUUAGACAGGGAAGAAGAAGUGACAGUACCUGUAGAAUAAGCUCCGGCUAACUACGUGCCAACAGCCGCGGUAAUCUGAGCGGGCUGGCAAGGC